rnacentral:other from 1 species
AGAUGCCUGCUUUGUUGGUGAACUUCAAGUAUAAUUCGAGCCGAACAUUUAUUCACUUUGGGAGCUUUAUAUUAAAAUGUUAACAGCAUGCCUUAUUGAAAAUGAAAGGAAGCUGAAGAUAUUUUUGCAAGCACCCACCUGUCAUUGGCGGGUUCGUGAAACCUGGAAGAUAACCGCAUAUGCGGGCAACGU